UACGUAGGUGGCGAGCGUUGUCCGGAUUUACUGGGCGUAAAGGGAGCGUAGGCGGACUUUUAAGUGAGAUGUGAAAUACUCGGGCUCAACUUGAGUGCUGCAUUUCAAACUGGAAGUCUAGAGUGCAGGAGAGGAGAAUGGAAUUCCUAGUGUAGCGGUGAAAUGCGUAGAGAUUAGGAAGAACCCCGAUUGCGAAGGCAGCAUACCGGCGCCCUACUGACGCUGAGGCACGAAAGUGCGGGGAUCAAACAGG
rnacentral:rRNA from 1 species